GUCUUGACUAUCCACGAAGCACAGGGCCAGACGAGUGAGAGUGUCAUCGUCAUCUAGACGAGGAAUGGGAGGGUGCGAAUACAUGACAGCGUUUCGCACGCGAUACGAUGUUGCUGAGUAACGCCUACCUUGAAAUA